rnacentral:rRNA from 1 species
GCGGCGGAUUCCAAGGCCCUGACGGAGAAGGGCGCGGCAAAGGCCGACAUGGAGGCCCAGAAGCAGUCCCGCG